UCGGAUUCGGCUCGCGCGGGUUCCGUGGAUUCGUCAGAAAGUACGCGGUCUUUGCGGACAAUACCGCGGCAGCUCCGCAAGGCACGCAAUUAAAUAAUAAGCGGGAAUUGAUUUUUAUUAUCAAUUAUUUUCCCCGCCAAAGUUCGCGUGUGCUAAUUUUUAUUUUAUUUAUAUUUUUUACUUUUCUAAAUAUUACAAAAUUAAUAUUCUUUUUUUUCAACAAUUGUGUCGGUUACGUUUUAACACCGUUUUAAUUAAUUUGUUUUUUACCGAUCCACGAUCGCAAAGCAACAGAUAUUUUUUCUCAUACAAUAAUAAAGUUUCCGAAGAAAGUUGUAAUAUUUGGAAAAGAAUUAUACCAAGUUUAGACCAUGAUUUUGUGAUGGAGGUCAUUUCGACACGGAGAUACGAAGUUCGACCACCGCCCACGACAAACCAUCAUGGAAUCCUCGUCGACCCUGAGAAUUCCGUGGCAUUGGUCAAAGAAGGUAAACACUUUGUAUUACUUAUAUUACACACGGUUAGUUAAUUUAUUUAAGAUGUGAUUAUUUAUUUUAUUCCUGAUUUAAAUCUGAAAUGAAUUCGAUCGGAUAAGAUUGCUAUGAACAACGACCAAUCACAUAUACAGGAGUCUUAAUUGGGUUAAGAGGAUUAACAGAUAUUCAAUAUUAUAUCAGCUUAAAUG